UAUCACAUAUAAAUAAUGAAGUGUAGGACCACUUGUUUAGGGAAUAUAUUCCAAACAACACAAAGAAAUCAUAUCUAUCUAAACAAAAAUCUAUAAAGGGUCACUUGUCAUCUUGGUCCUCAAAACCAGCACCACAAAACAGUAAAUCUCACAGGAUUCAAUAGCAAACUUGAGUAAUGAGUAUGUAAAACAAAAUUUGGUCCCCACUUGGCUGUCCUAAUGUUGACCCUACUUUUUUCCCAAUUCUAGUGCUCUUUCUCCAUUACCAAGAGGCAACCAAGCCUUCUUCUUUGUUGUAGAUUCCUCAACCUUUUGCUUGCCUUUCUCAACAUAUACGCUCGUCUUUAUAGUCUUCUUUCCCGUAGGUUUGUCAUGUGGUGGCUUUGAAGGAGCUUUUAUCUUAGUGCUCACGGAUCCAGGGGGCUUGAAAGGCUUCUACACAGUCUUCACAAUACUUUUACCCUUGCUUUGACUAUAUCUGUUCUUAGACACUCUAGUUCAAAAGCCCUAGUCCUGGUACUUCUCCGAGCAAAUCAUAUAUGCUCUUCAUGUGUGGUGCAGUGGCAUUUGAUGAAUUCUGGAAUGCAAAUUCAAGAGCCAUUUCUACCUCCAAAUCUGAAAGAUUGAACAUAUGCUUUGGAUUUUUGGAGCUUGCUUUGGUUGAGUAAGAUUGGUAGACUAUGUUAUACAUAAUUACUGAACUCUUAGUAAAUGUGCAUGUAUUUAAAAAAAUCUAAGCACCAUUUCAAAAUGUUAUUCUUUACCUGUGAACUUGGCAUUAUAGGGGAUAGACCUUCAAAAGUACCUAUUGGAUCUAUAUUGCCAUCAUCUUCCAUAUUCUGCCUAAUGUCAUCAUGUUGCUUAAUAUUAUUGCCCAAUAUCCUCAUCUUGAUGAAUGCCCUCAAAAGCAUUACCCUCAGGAGUAUUUCCUCAACAAUAUUGUUGUGAUCAAUUGGAUUUGCACUAGUUUGUCCCUUUGAUUUCUUCCUUUGCAUUUAUAACUCAUCAUAGCCAUAUCAACAAUACAUUUUUCUAAACUAUUAGAAACUCAUUAUAGUCAUAUUACUUACUGGCAAUUUUUUCUUCUAUUAUACACAACUAGCAUGUUUGAAACUCCAUGGUAUUUUUUAAUGUGGCCCUUUAUCCCACAGAUGGUGCAAAUCAUUAUAGAUCCCUUCUUGCUCCCUUUCCUAUCUUCGAUUAGUGAUUCAAUCUCCUCAUCCUCUUUUCUCCUUUUUAUAGGUUUAGGGCCUUUCUUAGGGUGUUGCACAUGUAUUGGGGGUAGGACUGGGGGGCAGUAGCUUAAUAGUUGUAGUUGGAUUAAGGAAAAGGCUAUAAUAGUCAAGGUGAGUACUAACCAUAAUAAUCAUCUAAGUAAUUUUCAGGGAUAUUAUUAUUAUACCACAACAUAUUAACUGCAUAACAACAUAGAAUUUCAGUUAAAUCUCACCUCCUACAUGUACAAGUUCUUUCUUUCUUGUCUACUACAUAUUGAUCCCCAUGACGUACAACUUGAAAUCUAUCACCACUAGUUAUGUCCUAUACAUCCAGUUGAAUUUCUUAGACUUCUCUAAUUUAGGAAGUAUUUUUAGACGAUAAAAAGUUGCUACUCUCCUCAUUUCAUCCCUUUUCCUGUGAAUUCUUUUCAGAAGCUUUGUCCUAAUAAUUUCAUUCACGGUGAUUGUUCCCUUAGUCCUAGCUUUUACAAUAAAGUUGUUAAAGCACUCAUACAAACUGUUCAAUAACAUACCAUACUUAGGAUGAGUCCUAAAAUAAGAUCUAGACCAAUAAUGUGAGGGAAUGAUAUUUAUGUAUUCAUGUGCAUACCUAUUUUCAAAUGGUAAUUUGUCCAUUAUUUUUGUGCAAAUCUGCACAUAACUAGCCCUGACAGCCCCAAAAAUAAGAUAUUUCAAUCUUAAACUAUUCCACCUCUUCCUAAAGUUUGUGUGAAUGUGUCUAAUACAGAAUAUGUGCUUAGAAUUAGGAAACAACUCCUCAAUUACAUGAAUCAACCCCUAUUCAUUAAUAAAAAAGUAUUAGUAUUUGUUUUGAUUACAUUUAUAGAAUAGAAAUCAAACAAAGUGAUAUAGAGAUUACCUUGUGCCCAUGACUCAUGAAAGCCCAUUAAUAGUUGUUGUUUAUCUUCGGGUCUUUUGUUAAGAGAGACAAGAGCUAUUUGUAGCAAACUUUGUUCUACUUCUCUACAAUAGCCCGAGCAAUUGGGUAUAUGUAGUCAUUAGUAUCAAUGUCAAUUGUUAUCAGUAGCUGUCCCCUAAAUAUCCAUUUCAACCAAGUACCAUCAACAGAGACUAAUGGCCUACAUGUUCUUUUAAAAGCAGUUGUCAAGAAAGCAAAGCAUACAUACAUUCCUUUAAACACAUAAUCAUUUAAGUCAAACACAAUAGUAGAUCCUGGAUUGCUCCUUAAUAACUCCAAUUUAAAAUCAUAAAACCUAGAUAACUGCUCUUUCUCAUCACCAUUAAUAAACUUCAAUGCAAUAUUUCUUGCUCCCUAUGCUUUCAACCUUGAAACAUCCACUUGCAAAUCUUCUUUCACAACUUGUAUACAUAGUUUCAUUAGAAUCAUAGUUAGUUGCCUCUACAUUUAUGUCCACAUUGUUGCUGCCACCCCUAUUUCUCUCUAACUCCUUGUCAAUAUGUUGCUCAAAUAUCUUAUCUUCUUCAUCCCCGUCAUCUCUCAAGUCAUAAUCUGAAUCUAUAAAGUCAUUAUCUCUUUGCUCUCCAUCACACUAUUCCUCACUUUCUUCUACUUCUUCACUAAUCUGACACAUCACCCCCAUCCACAUCACUUUCAUUAUUCUACCAAUCACCCCUAAUCAUAUUACUUUUAAUAUUCAGACCAUCACUCCCAUCUCUCUAUUCUACAUUCUGCACUAUGUCCACUUCCUGCAUUUUAGCUUUAUCCUUAGCAUAAAUAUGCAUCACCAUUGACUCAUCAACAAACAAAUUCAUUUCCACUACAUCAUUAUCAUUAUUCAAAUUCCUAAACCUAUCAAAAUGAUCCUUCUUUGGAUGCUUUUAGAAAAAUUUUAGCAUCUCAAGGUACAAGCCCAAUUCCCUAGCCAUGUUGUGUAACUCCAAAUUGCUAAUCUUAUAUGAUAUGCAAAAGUCUAGCCAUCCUAUAUUAGAUAUUAUCACUUUCCCCCUAGUGUCUAAUCCAAACUCAUACCAUUGUAUAGUAAAAUAUACAGAAUUAACCACUAAAAAAAAAGACAAAUAUGAAACAAAUGAAUAAAAUUUAUACUAGCAAACCAUAUUUCUAUAGUCAAACGAAACACAAACAUCAAACUAAUUUAUGUAUUCAUGCAUUGCUACUUAACAUGCAUAUUUUUUAAUGGGCCUAAAGCCCAUAUAAUUUUGUACCUACAUUUGCUUAUAAAUCGAAUGAAAACCAAUAAGUUCAUUUUAAUAAUGAGAAUAAUAGAAGAAUCACAAAUUUCAAGGUUCAAACUUACAUUACUCAAGUGCUUCCUCACUUUAAGUCCUUUGUCUCCAAUCAAGCGUCAUUGCCUAAUUUCCAACCCUAAAUGAGCUUUACACAAUCAAGAGCAUACCAAUGAGAUUGUUAAAGUCUUCUCUUCUGUAUCUUCACGAUUGUUGAGAAGGAAAGGAUUUGAAGUUAGAUUCCUCUAUGCUAUACGGAGAUACAAAACUAGAGAGAAUUGUAAAGAUAGAGCAGUAAAGAGAGAGUAAAAUAUAACUUAGGAUAAAAUUAGGGUUUAUUUGAUUUGAAGUAAUAAGAGUAAUCUAGGGAUUUUAAAAUUGGGUCCACUAGUUACUAAGAAAGAAGUUAGGGAUUUUUUAAAUAUUAUGUAGCAUCUAUGUGGCAACUACACUCAUUCUGGUUGCCACGUGUUCAAAUUCUAGUCAGAAUCCCAUGAGGUACCGUAUUUGCUUCAAAAUUGAAGAUCAUGGGCCAAAAAGAAAAAAAAAAUUAAGGUUUUAGUACCAAUUAGAUACAAAGUGUAAAAUUUUUUGUGCCAAUUAGGCUAUUUAUCCCUCUUUAU
rnacentral:lncRNA from 1 species